rnacentral:rRNA from 1 species
UAGGGAAUCUUCGGCAAUGGGGGCAACCCUGACCGAGCAACGCCGCGUGAGUGAAGAAGGUUUUCGGAUCGUAAAGCUCUGUUGUAAGUCAAGAACGGGUGUUAGAGUGGAAAGUUCACACUGUGACGGUAGCUUACCGGAAAGGGACGGCUAACUACGUGCCAGCAGCCGCGGUAAUACGUAGGUCCCGAGCGUUGUCCGGAUUUAUUGGGCGUAAAGCGAGCGCAGGCGGUUUGAUAAGUCUGAAGUUAAAGGCUGUGGCUCAACCAUAGUUCGCUUUGGAAACUGUCAAACUUGAGUGCAGAAGGGGAGAGUGGAAUUCCAUGUGUAGCGGUGAAAUGCGUAGAUAUAUGGAGGAACACCGGUGGCGAAAGCGGCUCUCUGGUCUGUAACUGACGCUGAGGCUCGAAAGCGUGGGGAGCGAACAGG